CUCAGAAGGCGUGGCAGCCACCACCCUACCUCUCCCGCAGCCACGUGUACCUUUAGUACAACAUAAAUACCAACAUGAGUAAUAAAAUGUAUAUAAAUACCAAUAUGCAUACACCAUGAGUACAAAAUAAAUACCAACAUGAAUACAACGUGUACCUUUAGUACCUCUCGGCUUCGUGGGGGUCGAUCUCCUCUCACGUGGGGCGCUCCUUGCAUAGUAGAGAGCAACACUCUCCGAAGAGGUGAGGCAGGAACAGAAGUACCCAUCCCAUCACCCGCCGACGAAGAAGAAGCCGCGGAGUGCUUUGGACCCUUUCCCACC
rnacentral:lncRNA from 1 species